GUCAGGAUGGCCGAUCGGUCUAAGGCGCUGCGUUUAGAUCACAUUCUACUUCUGUGUGGGCGUGGUUUCGAAUCCCAUUUCUGACA